UGAAAUAUUUAUGCAUUUCUUUU
rnacentral:snRNA from 1 species